GAUGAAGAACGUAGCGAAAUGCGAUAAGUAAUGCGAAUUGCAGAAUUUCCGUGAAUCAUCGAAUCUUUGAACGCACAUUGCGUCCGCCAGUAUUCUGGCGGGCAUGCCUGUUCGAGCGUCAUUUCAACCCUCAGGUCCCCCUUUUCGGAGGGGGAGACACCCUGGUGUUGGGGGACGGCAUCCUGGCCCGCUGUCUCACAGUGUGCCACGCCGCCCCCGAAAUGAAUUGGCGGCCUCGUCGCGUGCCACCCCUGCGUAGUAGCACAACCUCGCAACGGGAGCCCGACGCGGCCACUGCCGUAAAACGCCCAACUUUUACCGAGUUGACCUCGAAUCAGGUAGGAAUACCCGCUGAACUUAAGCAUAUCAAUAAGCGGAGGA
rnacentral:misc_RNA from 1 species